rnacentral:rRNA from 1 species
CCUACGGGCGGCAGCAGUGGGGAAUAUUGCACAAUGGGGGAAACCCUGAUGCAGCGACGCCGCGUGAGUGAAGAAGUAAUUCGUUAUGUAAAGCUCUAUCAGCAGGGAAGAAAAUGACGGUACCUGAGUAAGAAGCCCCGGCUAACUACGUGCCCGCAGCCGCGGUAAUACGUAGGGGGCAAGCGUGAUCCGGAUUUACUGGGUGGAAAGGGAGCGUAGACGGCAGUGCAAGUCUGGAGUGAAAGGCGGGGGCUCAACCCCCGGACUGCUCUGGAAACUGUACGGCUGGAGUGCAGGAGAGGUAAGUGGAAUUCCUAGUGUAGCGGUGAAAUGCGUAGAUAUUAGGAGGAACACCAGUGGCGAAGGCGGCUUACUGGACUGUAACUGACGUUGAGGCUCGAAAGCGUGGGGAGCAAACAGGAUUAGAUACCCGAGUAGUC